rnacentral:rRNA from 1 species
AGUGGCGAACGGGUGAGUAACACGUGAGCAACCUGCCCCUGACUCUGGGAUAAGCGCUGGAAACGGCGUCUAAUACUGGAUAUGUCCCAUCACCGCAUGGUGUGUGGGUGGAAAGAUUUUUCGGUUGGGGAUGGGCUCGCGGCCUAUCAGCUUGUUGGUGAGGUAAUGGCUCACCAAGGCGUCGACGGGUAGCCGGCCUGAGAGGGUGACCGGCCACACUGGGACUGAGACACGGCCCAGACUCCUACGGGAGGCAGCAGUGGGGAAUAUUGCACAAUGGGCGGAAGCCUGAUGCAGCAACGCCGCGUGAGGGAUGACGGCCUUCGGGUUGUAAACCUCUUUUAGCAGGGAAGAAGCGAGAGUGACGGUACCUGCAGAAAAAGCACCGGCUAACUACGUGCCAGCAGCCGCGGUAAUACGUAGGGUGCAAGCGUUAUCCGGAAUUAUUGGGCGUAAAGAGCUCGUAGGCGGUCUGUCGCGUCUGCUGUGAAAUUCCGAGGCUCAACCUCGGGCUUGCAGUGGGUACGGGCAGACUAGAGUGCGGUAGGGGAGAUUGGAAUUCCUGGUGUAGCGGUGGAAUGCGCAGAUAUCAGGAGGAACACCGAUGGCGAAGGCAGAUCUCUGGGCCGUAACUGACGCUGAGGAGCGAAAGGGUGGGGAGCAAACAGGCUUAGAUACCCUGGUAGUCCACCCCGUAAACGUUGGGAACUAGUUGUGGGGUCCUUUCCACGGAUUCCGUGACGCAGCUAACGCAUUAAGUUCCCCGCCUGGGGAGUACGGCCGCAAGGCUAAAACUCAAAGGAAUUGACGGGGACCCGCACAAGCGGCGGAGCAUGCGGAUUAAUUCGAUGCAACGCGAAGAACCUUACCAAGGCUUGACAUACACGAGAACGGGCCAGAAAUGGUCAACUCUUUGGACACUCGUGAACAGGUGGUGCAUGGUUGUCGUCAGCUCGUGUCGUGAGAUGUUGGGUUAAGUCCCGCAACGAGCGCAACCCUCGUUCUAUGUUGCCAGCACGUAAUGGUGGGAACUCAUGGGAUACUGCCGGGGUCAACUCGGAGGAAGGUGGGGAUGACGUCAAAUCAUCAUGCCCCUUAUGUCUUGGGCUUCACGCAUGCUACAAUGGCCGGUACAAUGGGCUGCAAUACCGUGAGGUGGAGCGAAUCCCAAAAAGCCGGUCCCAGUUCGGAUUGAGGUCUGCAACUCGACCUCAUGAAGUCGGAGUCGCUAGUAAUCGCAGAUCAGCAACGCUGCGGUGAAUACGUUCCCGGGUCUUGUACACACCGCCCGUCAAGUCAUGAAAGUCGGUAACACC